UUAGAUACCCUAUUAUUAAGACAUAUAAAAAUCUAAGGUAGUAGUUGCUAUGAACUUAAAACCUAAAGAAUUUGGCGGUACCAAAUAAAAUCAGAGGAACCUGUUUUCUAAUCGAUAAUCCACGAUAAAUCUUUCUUUUUUAAGGCUUGUAUACCGUCAUCUACAGUAAACUCUUUAGAAAAAUACUCAAUUGUAGGAACAUCUAAGUUAGAUCAAGGUGCAGCUUAAAAAAGUAAUUAAUGGGUUACAAUUGAAACCAGAUUGGAAUUUCACCCAGAAAGGGGAUAAUAAAAUGGAUUUGAAAGUAAUUUUAGUUUAACAAGCUGAGAUGAGUUGAUUUCUAGGUAAGUACACAUCGCCG
rnacentral:rRNA from 1 species